AUUCCCAGCACUAUUAACAGAGAUUGAUUGAAGAAUGAGAUUUGACAUGCAUUUUGAUGGUAACAGUUGUUAAGUCAGAGGUGCAUUAUUUCUGGACAGGUGACCUCUAAGGCAGCACACAGACCAUCACAAUGGUCUAUGAUGGUGGUUUAAGGUGAUUGACAGCAACCAAAGAAGAAACAUCAUAAAUGGAUUUGGUGCCAGAGACCUGCUGAGAAGAAAUUAGAUAACAGAGAUAAUAGAAGCCAAGCAGUAACAGAAAAUGUUCCCUCUGGACUUCAGUAACAUCCACUACGUGUGUCUCACACUUCUCAAUGCUCUGUCUCUCUGCCAGUGACUGUGUUUUUAUCUAGGCAUCCUCAAGCACAUCAUACAUGCUGUACAGUUUUCUAACUUAUCUGAUUCCUGAUCAUACUGCUCAUUGCCCAAUGGUAUAGAUUCUUGCUAAUUACUGCACUGGUCUCUUGUCUCAAUGCUGGAUUUCCUAUGCUAUUUCUUUCUUUGCAACCAGAAUGCUAAAAAUAGCCAUUCUUAAAGUGUAGCACAUCAAUUAUUGAAAUAUCAUUGCAGCUCUUUUUGUAGUAUUAGCUUCAGAAACUAUUCCUUAGAUAUAAUAAUAUAAAUUAAACACACUUAAAAAUAGGUUUUACAACAUUAUUUAUUUAUUUGUUUAAUAUCCUAAUGUAGGUAUAGUUUUCUGUCCCAUUGUCUCACAUAUUUCCCUAGUAUUUAUUUUGGCAAACAUUUCUAUUAC